AUGGCUACGGGGGAAGAUAGUGUCGGGCGGCCGUCGCCAUGGAUUUUUGCUGCACAAUUGUUUUGCUGGAACCACCAUUUUGGCUUGCUGGAAUCGGCGAGGAUGAUGAUGGGCGGCUACGACGGUGGCGCCAUGAUUAUUUUUGCUGCAUUGAUUUUUGCUGGAACCGUAUCAAUUUUUUGUUGGAAUCAUGUUGUGUUUUUGCUGGAAUCAUAUCAAUGUUUUGCUGGAAACAAGAUCAUUUUUUGCUGGAACCAUAUCAAAAUUUUGUUGGGACCAUGUUGUAUUUUUGCUGGAACGAUAUGA
rnacentral:rRNA from 1 species